rnacentral:tRNA from 1 species
GCCUGGGUGGCUCAGUUGGUUAAGCAUCUGACUGUUGAUUUCUGCUCAGUUCAUGAUCUCACAGUUUGUGGGUUUGAGCCCCACAUCAGGCU